UCAAAGCAUUUUGUCUCUCCACGUCAUUUGUCUUGUCCCAAACCUUUUCUUCUUCGUUUAGGUUUUUUGUCCGCCUUCUUUGUUUAUCGCGAAGUUAGGGAGAUAUCAUUAUUGACGAAGAACUCGAGAUCAGAUCGGAAGUGGUAGCGUUGGCGGCGGAUUCAGAGAUCAUCACAGGUUCGACGAGUCGACUAGACCGAUGAUCGAUCCCAUCACAGGUUCGACGAGUCGACGAGUCGACUAGACCGAUGAUCGAUCCCAGCCCAGAUUCUUCUUCGAUUGUCUCUUCAGAAGGUUUCCGUAACGGGUCCGCGACAAAGCCGAGUCUUGAAUCGUUUGAGCAGAAGGAUAUGAUCUUGGGUGGUUGUGGAUGGUGUUGAAUUGAUGGAGGAGGAGUAUCAAGUCCAGAUCCGACAGAGAAUGCAGCUGCAGAUGGCUGGCACAAGUUAUCGUUGCUAUUGAGAACCCACUAGACAUCAUUGUGCAGUCUGCUAGGCCCUAUGGUCAGAGAGCUGUCUUAAAGUUUGCUCGGUACACUGGAGCUAAUGCCAUUGCUGGAAGGCACAAUCCUGGUUUCUCGAAGACAUUAGUUGUUGCCAUCAUCAAUGAUAACCACCAUAAACGUUACUGUAACAACCGGAGCCACCUCGAACCAUCUUGUCGUUCUUCAUACGGAGGGAUAGUUUCCAUCCAUGGAGCUUCAUUUGGUACUCUCGAUCUUGUUACGUAAUGAAAGGAAGAGAACAAACAGUUUUUUUUUUUUGCAAGAAUUAUGUGAUUUUAAAUUCUUUUUAUCAGUAAUUCAAAUUUUUUUUAUCAAAUGCUUUAAUUUUUUUGGUUAUAUCCGAAAUACCUGAACCCUACCGGAAGUCCAGAAAUAUCCGAACAGAUUUUAUGCUUCUAUUCCGAAAUAUCCGAACAUCGAAAUACCCGAUGCGAACCCGAACGCCCACCCCUAAUGCAACAAUUCCUCACAAAGUAUCCCCACCUUAUCUAAGACCCAAAGCUUCGGGAAAGAACCUAAUCAUUUGGACGAAUUUAGCUUCGGCAACUUCAUGUUAAGAUGUUAUCAACUUAUCAUUGAUAUUUUGAUUAACUUAUAAGAAUUUUACUUCUAUUUAAAUUAAUUAGAAUAUAACGUCUAUGUUACAACAUAUUUUUACAAUAUAUUUCUACCAAACAUAAGUUACCAUAAGAAUAAAUGAGACAAAAUUCAUAGCAGAAAAAAACAUAAACAAUACAUUGGAAACAAAAUUUCUAAACAUUUUGGAAAUACUUUGAAUUUAAAAGAGACAAAAAAAAUUUCAAAAUUUUAGAAUGUUUAAUUUCUUUAGAAAUU